rnacentral:lncRNA from 1 species
CUCGGGCCCACGUGAGCUGUAGGGAAACGCAGGGGCGGCUUCUAGGUGCUGCCGCCGCCACCGCCACCACCACCUCCACCGCCGCCUCGGAACCCAGGCCUGGGGGGCGGUGGGGCCGCGUAUGGAGCCCCCGCCCCCCGGAGCUGCCAACAUUGCCAACGCCACCGCCACGCUACACACAGCCUCAACUUUCAGGAGACCCGUCCGUGGCCUUAUUUAUUCCACCCUUCCUGUACAUCGUAGCGAAUCAAUCCGUGGCGCCGCACUCCUCCGCAUCCCUCUUUAACAAAGAGAACGUGCUGAUCCUCUUUUCCUUGUGAUGGAGCACUGUACGGCCUUCCCUGUCCUCCACCUCUUAAUAGUGGGUCAGCCUGGUCACACUCGUAACCACAAAGACGUUCUGCCUCACUACAAUAAGUGAAUACAUUAGCGCCAGUGAUGAUAGUAAUGCCAAUAGGAGCUAGCGUUUAUUGAGCACCUGCCGUAUAUCAGGCAGAGUGUUUCAUAUGAAUGAGUUCCUUUAAUCCUCACCACAACCCCAUGAGAUAGGUAGUGAGGGAAUUGGGCCAUAGGGAGGUUAAAUUCCUUACUCAAAGGUGGCCCAGGAAGUACUCAGGACACAGGAUAAUUUUUGAGGCUCCCCUCUUAGAUCUCAUCCCACCCCACGUGAGGCCUCAGUCCUUAAAAACCAAAUUAGUUCUCACCUCCAAGCUUUUGUUCUUGCUGUUCCCUCUGCCUGCAGAGCAGUCUUCAUUCCUCACCUUCUCUC